GUCCACGCUGUAAACGAUGACGACUAGGUGUGGGGUGGGUUAGUCCACUCCGUGCCGCAGCUAACGCAUUAAGUCGUCCGCCUGGGGAGUACGGCCGCAAGGUUGAAACUCAAAGGAAUUGACGGGGGCCCCGCACAAGCGGUGGAGCAUGUGGUUCAAUUCGAUGCAGAGCGAAGAACCUUACCUGGGCUUGACAUGCUGGAAGUAGAACCCCGAAAGGGGAACGACCUGUUAAGUCAGGAGCCAGCACAGGUGGUGCAUGGCUGUCGU
rnacentral:rRNA from 1 species